UAUAACAGAUCAACCUCAUGUAUUAAUGUCAGAAACCAGCAAGUAAAUCAACCAAUCGCCAAUCACAAUCACAAUAAUAAGAUUCUAACUAACUACGACUCUAGUCUAUAACCCUUUACUAAACACAACACUCUAACUUGAGCCCUGGUGACUUCGUGUUCCUCCUCAACAUCAGCAAUAUCGUAUCUCAUUAUCACAAAGACUAAAAAAAGAAACUGUCAACCAACCGCGGUCCACAGCCAUCCGGGUCACCGUGCGACAGGCCACAGUCAUCGGGUCACCAAGUGUCGACAGCCCCAAUAUAGUAUGGUCACUGCCGAGUGUUACACGACCAUUACACCGUCGUGUAACACUCAUCCAUAGGCCAUGACUUCGUCUAUUUGAGUCUUCCCGAUCCAGCGAAAAAAGGGUUUCCUUGACAUGCUUAUCAUGGCGGGUUUCACACAUGCUAUCAGGCUUUACUCUCUCACUAUCUCUCUUAUUCCAGAACCUAGCCUAAAGACUAAAGUUCCAGAUCCUAACUAGACUCUCGACUAAACACUAACCUCCGGUACCAGUAAUUCGGCCUAUAUGGUCUAUGACCCCUAGUACUAACGUCUAAUAAACUAAACAACAACAUUUAACCAAAUAAUCUUAAUUCUAAUAAUUCAACCAGUUAGUCACCCCCUUACCAAGAGAUGACUAACCUCAAUCAACAAGCAUUAAUUAAACGAGCAAUCAUUUAAUUAAAUUUAACAUCAAAUCUACUCAAUCAGAUCGUUACCCAGAUAAUUCAGUCUCAUGCUACAAAUAUAUAUUUACAGUUAACGGGAACCUACACUCAAUCAUAUCAACACACAAGAAUAGAAACAUGAUGCAUCUAGCCCUAGUCCUAGUCAGAUUACUAACUCAAGCUUAAUUCCUUGCUUAGCUGGUGCUAAGCUGAGUCCAAUUUCAUAAAUAACCCUAAAGACUCUAUCAUGCAAUAGCGUGAGCAUUCUACUCUAUAUGAUUACUCGACCU
rnacentral:lncRNA from 1 species